rnacentral:rRNA from 1 species
GGCCUUCGGGUUGUAAAGCACUUUCAGUAAGGAGGAAAGGUUAAGUGUUAAUAGCACUUAGCUGUGACGUUACUUACAGAAGAAGCACCGGCUAACUCCGUGCCAGCAGCCGCGGUAAUACGGAGGGUGCGAGCGUUAAUCGGAAUUACUGGGCGUAAAGCGUACGCAGGCGGUUUGUUAAGCGAGAUGUGAAAGCCCCGGGCUCCACCUGGGAACUGCAUUUCGAACUGGCAAACUAGAGUGUGAUAGAGGGUGGUAGAAUUUCAGGUGUAGCGGUGAAAUGCGUAGAGAUCUGAAGGAAUACCGAUGGCGAAGGCAGCCACCUGGGUCAACACUGACGCUCAUGUACGAAAGCGUGGGGAGCAAAACAGGAUUAGAUACCCUGGUAGUCCACGCCGUAAACGAUGUCUACUAGAAGCUCGGGUCUUCGGACUUGUUUUUCAAAGCUAACGCAUUAAGUAGACCGCCUGGGGAGUACGGCCGCAAGGUUAAAACUCAAAUGAAUUGACGGGGGCCCGCACAAGCGGUGGAGCAUGUGGUUUAAUUCGAUGCAACGCGAAGAACCUUACCUACACUUGACAUACAGAGAACUUACCAGAGAUGGUUUGGUGCCUUCGGGAACUCUGAUACAGGUGCUGCAUGGCUGUCGUCAGCUCGUGUUGUGAGA